rnacentral:rRNA from 1 species
UACGUAGGCAGCGAGCGUUGUUCGGAAUUACUGGGCGUAAAGAGUGUGUAGGCGGUGCUCCCAGUCUGUUGUGAAAUCUCCCGGCUUAACUGGGAGGGUGCAGCGGAAACUAGAGUGCUAGAGGGUGGGAGAGGUAAGCGGAAUUCCGUGGUGAGCGGUGAAAUGCGUAGAUAUCAGGAGGAACACCUGUGGUGUAGACAGCUUACUGGACCACUUCUGACGCUGAGACACGAAAGCGUGGGUAGCAAACAGG